UUCCAGCUCCAAUAGCGUAUAUUAAAAUUGUUGCAGUUAAAACGCUCGUAGUUGAAUUUCAAGGAAUCGAUAUUUUAUUGUAACUAUUUUAGGGGUUUUAUUUUUGCUUCUUGCUUAAAUUCUUCCCCUAUUAUUAUGUUCUUUAAAUAACAAAGAUUCUUUUUAAAACCCCUUUUUGCUUUUUGCUUUUUGGGGUUUUGUUACUUUGAGUAAAUUAGAGUGUUCAAAGCAAACAGUUAAAGCAUUUACUGUGUUUGAAUACUAUAGCAUGGAAUAACAAAAUUGAACAAGCUGAAAUUUUGUUCUUUUUUCUUAUUUUGGCUUAGUUACGAUUAAUAGGAGUAGCUUGGGGACAUUCGUAUUCAGAUGUC
rnacentral:rRNA from 1 species